UACGUAGGAUGCAAGCGUUGUCCGGAGUUACUGGGCGUAAAGCGCACGCAGGCGGUCUGUUAAGUUUGGAGUGACAGUUGGUGGCUUAACUGCCAAAGUGCUUCGAAAACUGACAGACUUGAGGGCUUCAGAGGGACACGGAAUUCCGGGUGGAGUGGUGAAAUGCGUAGAGAUCCGGAGGAACACCAAAGGCGAAGGCAGUGUCCUGGGGAGUACCUGACGCUCAGGUGCGAAAGCCAGGGGAGCGAACGGG
rnacentral:rRNA from 1 species